rnacentral:rRNA from 1 species
AUUGAACGCUGGCGGCAGGCCUAACACAUGCAAGUCGAACGGUAACAGGAAGCAGCUUGCUGCUUCGCUGACGAGUGGCGGACGGGUGAGUCAUGUCUGGGAAACUGCCUGAUGGAGGGGGAUAACUACUGGAAACGGUAGCUAAUACCGCAUAACGUCGCAAGACCAAAGAGGGGGACCUUAGGGCCUCUUGCCAUCGGCUGUGCCCAGAUGGGAUUAGCGAGUAGGUGGGGUAACGGCUCACCUAGGCGACGAUCCCUAGCUGGUCUGAGAGGAUGACCAGCCACACUGGAACUGAGACACGGUCCAGACUCCUACGGGAGGCAGCAGUGGGGAAUAUUGCACAAUGGGCGAAAGCCUGAUGCAGCCAUGCCGCGUGUAUGAAGAAGGCCUUCGGGUUGUAAAGUACUUUCAGCGGGGAGGAAGGGAGUAAAGUUAAUACCUUUGCUCAUUGACGUUACCCGCAGAAGAAGCACCGGCUAACUCCGUG